GACGAACGCUGGCGGCGUGCUUAACACAUGCAAGUCGAACGGGUCUGCCCUGUUUUUUGCGGGGUGGGUCAGUGGCGAACGGGUGAGUAACACGUGAGUAACCUGCCCCUCACUUCUGGAUAACCGCUUGAAAGGGUGGCUAAUACGGGGUGUUCUGGCUGUGCCGCAUGGUGUGGCUGGGAAAGAUUCACUUUUGUGGUGUUUUGGUGGGGGAUGGGCUCGCGGCCUAUCAGCUUGUUGGUGGGGUGAUGGCCUGCCAAGGCUUUGACGGGUAGCCGGCCUGAGAGGGUGGGCGGUCACACUGGGACUGAGCUACGGCCCAGACUCCUGCGGGAGGCAGCAGUGGGGGGUAUUGCACAAUGGGCGGAAGCCUGAUGCAGCGACGUCGCGUGAGGGAUGGAGGCCUUCGGGUUGUGAACCUCUUUCGCCGGUGAAGAAGGUCCUGCUCUUUGUGGUGGGGUUGACGGUAGCCGGGUUAUGAAGCGCCGGCUAACUACGUG
rnacentral:rRNA from 1 species